CACAAAACAGCCUGUAGUUGAUACACAGUGAUGGCAGCUUUAAUCAUAGUUGCCCAUACUGAAAAUGCCCAAAUACCCUGCCAUGGGUGAACGGAUAAACAAAUGGCUCCAUCCAUACAAUGGAAUGCUACUCGGUGCAAAAAAGCACUCUACACAGGCAAUAUGGAUGACUCCAAUGCAUCAUGUUCAGUAAAAGCAGCCACGUGCAAACAGCUGCACACUAUUUCUGGAAAUGGUGAGGUGAUGGAUAGAGGAUAGAAAACAAACCAGUGGUUUCCACGGACUGGGGUUGAGGAGGGGUUAACCACAAGAGAGCACAAAGGAAUUCUGGGUGGUGGUGAAGAUGUUCAAUGUCUGGAAUGUGGUAGUGGCACAAUUGUAUGUUUUUGUCAAAGCCCAAAGAACUAUACACUAAAAAGAGUAAAUUUUAUUGUUUAUAAAUUAUGCUUCAAUAAACCUGCCUUUAAAAAAUUUUUUAUCAGUAAUUACAAUUUUCAAAAGUGGAGAUACUUGGUAGGCCCCUGCUUUCUUGGCCCCUAAGGUCCCUCUCUCUGUUAAACUGUAGAGCUCCUUAGAACCAAAACCAAACCACCUUUCAUUUUAAUGAAAAUGAAAUGCAAAAACUGGGGCUCCAAGCAAGGAAGAAACGUCUACCUGCAGUUCAUCUGGGGGUUGGUGGGAGAGGUGGGACUGAAAGCUUUUCCAUAUUCAUUACAUCCAAAGGAUUUCUCAC
rnacentral:lncRNA from 1 species